AUUGAACGCUGGCGGCAUGCUUUACACAUGCAAGUCGAACGGUAACGCGGGGGCAACCCUGGCGACGAGUGGCGAACGGGUGAGUAAUACAUCGGAACAUGUCCUGGAGUGGGGGAUAGCUCGGCGAAAGCCGGAUUAAUACCGCAUACGCUCUGAGGAGGAAAGCGGGGGGACCUUCGGGCCUCGCGCUGCAGGAGUGGCCGAUGUCGGAUUAGCUAGUUGGUGGGGUAAGGCCCACCAAGGCGACGAUCCGUAGCUGGUCUGAGAGGAUGAUCAGCCACACUGGGACUGAGACACGGCCCA
rnacentral:rRNA from 1 species